ACCGGCCUGCAAAGCAGGUGGGCGAUCAACGCUGGUUGAACCAACAUUCAUUGAACAGGGGCUCAACUCGACAAUCGGUUCUGUGUGCCGUGUCCGCCAGUCCGGAAUGCCUAAUGAACCGCGGAGAGCUCCACCUUCUUAGGAAGGGUUCACCAGCGCAUCAACCACGGCCCCGUGGGUCGGAU
rnacentral:other from 1 species